GACGAACGCUGGCGGCGUGCUUAACACAUGCAAGUCGAACGGAAAGGCCCUGCUUUUGUGGGGUGCUCGAGUGGCGAACGGGUGAGUAACACGUGAGUAACCUGCCCUUGACUUUGGGAUAACUUCAGGAGACUGGGGCUAAUACCGCAUAGGAGCUCCUGCUGCAUGGUGGGGGUUGGAAAGUUUCGGCGGUUGGGGAUGGACUCGCGGCUUAUCAGCUUGUUGGUGGAGUAGUGGCUUACCAAGGCUUUGACGGGUAGCCGGCCUGAGAGGGUGACCGGCCACAUGGGGACUAAGAGACGGCGCAGUAUCCUACGGGACGCAGCAGUGGAGAAUAUGGCACAAUGGGCGGAAGCCUGAUGCAGCAGCGCCGCGUGCGGGAUGACGGCCUUCGGGUUGUAAACCGCUUUCGCCGGUGACGAAGCGUGAGUGACGGUAAUGGGUAAAGAAGCACCGGCUAACUACGUG
rnacentral:rRNA from 1 species